AUUGAAGAACCACCUGGAUUCAUUAUUGGAACAAAAUGCUUCAGUAAGGAAAUAAAUGAGUAACUUGAUGCAGAGAUGGCGGCAAGAUAUCCAUACCUUGAUGUCUCCAGAAGAGGUUUGCUAACCUCUGGCCCAUUUGCAAGUGAGUGCACAAGGAUGUCAAUGCUGCCAAAAUCCUGCUUCACGGAUUCAACUAGGUCCUGAACAGUCCAUUUGGAGGCCCCUGAAUACCGUUUGUUUGUUUUUACAUCUUCAGGAACAUCCUCAGGACUGUCAAAAACUGCAUCCAUUGGAUAAACUUUGGUAAUUUCCAUUAAUGAACCAUCUGGCAAUACGCGUGAUUCAUCAAAUUUCCCACGCCGUAAACUGCUUUCAAAUAUGUUCAGUGCAGGCACCCAUGUACCAACAACAAUCUCAGCACCUGCAGCAGCAAGAGACUUUGCAAUUGC
rnacentral:misc_RNA from 1 species